AUUAAAGGAAAUAAGAGCGCACAGUGGAUGCCUAGGCACCAAGAGCUGAUGAAGGACGC
rnacentral:rRNA from 1 species